GGCACUCGCCAGUCUUAUUGCAUUACCCGUCUCUGAAGCCUUGUGGAACACCACCUGCUCGUGUUUUUAGGAGAUUAGAGAAUGCCACGCCAGGGUGUGGUACAAAUUUAACAACUAUAUCGAUUUCUGUCCAGCGAUCUUCUUCUCAAUCAUCAUGAUAUAAAAUUGUAAUAUCGUCACAUGCCUAUUUAGAAAUGUGGUUUUGCGUUAUAGAGUGUGUGUGUACAGUAUGCGCGGGUGUUUGUGCGUGAGUGUGUGUAUGUGUAUGUGUGUGUGAGUGUGUGUGUUCGUAUAUAUUUUUGGAGCAUUUACAGAGUUUUGUUCGGAUUGUAAAAGCAUGUGAUCAGGAAAGAAGGAAUGAAGGAAGGAAAGAGAAGAGAAUCGAAUGAAAAUAUAGAGCUUUUCUUUUCUUUUAACUUUUGAUAUUUAACAUUUUUUAAUUUAUAUGCAGUGGCUGUGUAGAUGGCUGUGUUCUGUUGUUUUUAAUAUUUUUAUUUAAUCCCAAACGGAAGCAAAAAAAAAAAAAACCACACAAUUAGGUCUAAAAUAAGAUCCUAAAUCACUUCAGUAUAUACUUCAUAUUUUUACGCAUUUAUACAAAGUUCAGCGAAAUUUGUCCGUAUUUUUCUAAAACAAUGAAGCGUCUAUGUUUUAAUGAAAAAAUUAUAUGACUGUAUUUGCAUUUAAUAAUAACGAGUCUUCGGAUAUAUAUUUUAAAGUUUUCCUUUUGAAGAAACAUCGAUGAACAUUUUGGUAUUGACGGUCCCAUUUUUGUUUUUUUUUUUGGAAAUUGUUUAAGUUAAAGUAUGUUACAAUAAAAAAUUGUAAAUUUUUAUGUAUGAAUGUUUGAUGUUUUGAAGUUCAUAACUUUGCUGCUCACACUGUGUUGUUUUCCAAAAAGGGAAAGAAAGGAUUAGAGGAAGGUUCGAUUUGUGCGAGAGUACGAGCACUGAAAUCAAAAUCAUUUCUGUUUUUAAAUAAAGGAUCAAAAUGCAAGUGUUAAAAAGGACCGAAUUAUUCAAAAAUAAAAUGUGUUCAAGUUUGAAGAUGAUUUUAUUAAAACUGUAAAUUGUCUUCUUUUAUUAAAUGUUUAUCGUUUAUUUAAAUGCUCCCUAAAAACAUAUGCUAAAGUCUAAACAGACUAAAUUAUAAAAUAUAAAAAAUUAUAAAAUAAGCUUUUUAUGAAUUCAUUUUAUUUAAGAAUACUUCCUUACACUUAUAUGAUGAUAAAUCAUAAAGGAUGAAACAUAAAUGUUUG
ensembl:lncRNA